rnacentral:tRNA from 3 species
UAUACAAUGGCAGAUUAGUGCAUUAGGUUUAAACCCUAAAAAUGAGUAAAUUCUUGUAUAA